AGAGUUUGAUCCUGGCUCAGAACGAACGCUGGCGGCGUGCCUCACACAUGCAAGUCGAACGGAGAUAAGGGGCUUGCUCCUUAUUUUAGUGGCGCACGGGUGAGUAACGCGUGGAUAAUCUACCUUGGAAUCUGGGAUAACAUUUCGAAAGGGGUGCUAAUACCGGAUAAGACCACGAGCUCUUUGGAGUUUGCGGUAAAAGGGGGCCUCUGUAUAUGCUUCUGUUUCAAGAUGAGUCCGCGUACCAUUAGCUAGUUGGCAGGGUAAUGGCCUACCAAGGCGACGAUGGUUAGCUGGUCUGAGAGGAUGAUCAGCCACACUGGAACUGAGACACGGUCCAGACUCCUACGGGAGGCAGCAGUGGGGAAUUUUGCGCAAUGGGGGAAACCCUGACGCAGCAACGCCGCGUGAGUGAUGAAGGCCUUCGGGU
rnacentral:rRNA from 1 species